AGGAGGAGGCGCGGGCGCCGUCGGGUCCCAUUGAUAAAAGUUUCGCGGUGCGGCAAGCACGUAGCUUAAUCGAGGUCACAAAUCGCGCACGUUCCGCCUCUAUUUAUUCGCCUUCCGGCACAUUGCUACGAGACGUGCAUCCCGGGAAAAACGGACGUCAAAUCAUAGAUAAUUCCUGACACAGCCGCGUUAACAGACGCAGAGACUUCGCGCAUCCCUGAAGUUUCCAGGGGGAUUGAAACCGAGGAAAGAUCUUUUAACCCGAGGUUCUGCAGCAGCGGUUCUUGCACGCCGCUCUUCAACGCGAACUAGGCGCGUCUCCUCAGCCAUGAUACCUCCAUGACACCACACGGACGAAACAGUUCUGUGAAUGGGUAGAGAGAACUGUGGGGCCUUCGUGACGAAGGGUCAGGGGAAGGAAACGACCGAAGUAGCGAUUCUCAGCAGUCGGGGGACGCGGCUCUCCCUCUUCUCUCUCCCUCCCUCCCCCCCCCCCCCCCCCCCCACCGAAGUAGGCUGUCUCUCCCACACUACGUCCGGGCUCGCCGUCGGCUCGCCAUCCUCUGACUGUACGUGUUGCCUGCCCCCCGGCGCUCAGUCCGUUUUUCGUUCGCUCCUCGUGCGUACGAGACACUCACUCGCUUUUCCAUGCAUUUGUGGCUAUAUUCACGUGCCGACAUCUACCGGGUGUCCUUAAAAUAAUAUUCAAUCAUUUUACAACUCAGGACGCUAAUGAAACACAACUCAUCGUUUAUUAAUUUUUUUUUUUUUUACUUUGCUGUAAAUAUUCCCGCCUUCGGUAUUGAAAUCCAAAGUAUCGAAGGAUGCCAUCUGGCGACAGAAGAUUUACUAUGCUGAUCCGUUCAUAUUUAGUUGUAAGACUUAUUUUUAUGACUAUCUUUCAGUCUUCAGCAACAUAUUUUUAUAAAACAGACGCUUAAUCUUUUGCACAAAAUCUUCUGUCCAUUUAUUUGCGCGUUAUUCAGCUAAAACAGAUGCUUGAACGAUCAGCUGAUCAUUUAGUGCGAUGCCAUAUUGUUUUAUCCACACCCAUACUUUGGAUACCAAUUAUAUUCAAUCUUUUUUUUAAUUCCAUUUUCCUUUAUGAUUUCAUUCAUAUCGGGUAGCAGCCACGUUUAUUGCGUCAAUAUGUACACCCGUGUGUCAGCUGUUCAAAGGCUAUCUUAUCAACAUUUUAUUCUAAGUUUAGGCUCAUUUGUGGCCAACUACGACUAUUUCACCUAUAAUGGUCGUAUCGAAGGUAUCAUUUUCACCGAAUAAGUGAUUACAAUAUUUCCUAAUUAUUAAGAAUUUAAUGGGUGAAGAUAGAUAUCGGAAUCCCUUCGACAGCUUUAAAAAUCAAGCGCAAAAUUUAACCACUCGCCUUAAAUAAUUUCCCACGGUCUUCGAAUUAGGUACACCAUUGAGUAACAAUUUAUCAUUUGUUCGUUUCUUUCCUGCAAAUAAUCCUCUGGGAAAUAUACGGAUCCGUCGAAUGCCUCCCGGCAGCUAAAAAUUUAGCACGGUAAUCGGGUCGUAUUUGAUUAUAAAAAUCAUUUUAUGUUCUAUACUUUACUCUUCAUCAAAUCAUCGUAACAAAAUAAAUGUCUGACCGCUUGCACAAAGUUUUAUGUCCAUUUAUAUUCGUUUAUAAUAAUUGAUCUACAAUCAAGGCUUAAAUGAUCAGCUGAUUACCCGGUGACAUGUCCUAUCGAUUUAUCCAAGCCAAUACUAGGCUUUCGAUAUUAAUCAAUUCAACCUUGUAUUAAAUCCUUCAACUUUUUAACCCUUUUUCGCGUCAUUUCAUGGUUGCCACGUAGUUCUUCAACUAGAUUUUGGAAAUAUUAAUGAAGGAAAUGUUUAAAGACGACUGGCGCACGGCAUGUUUCGUCGGCAUUUUGUGCUUUCAUAUUGAAAUGCAGGUUCAUCUUUUUUCGAUGACAAUUUUUUUUACUCAAACUGUGAAAUUUGUACUUUAUGAACACGCUGUAUGUACGAAUGCGUACGAAUAGUCCGGAAAGAGCGUGAUUACUAUAGUUUUAUUUUAUCACCAGUGUAAAGAAAUUUGUAAAUAGCUACAGCGGAUAAAAAAAAUUAAAGUAUUAUUUUUGAAUUGGCUUUGUAUCAGAAUGAGUUGAUUGAUAUUUAGAAAAUCUCAGCAAUUUCAUCUCUAACCACUUUUUAGAGAUGAUAAUUUCUUAUCUUGUAUAGUACACACACUCUCAAAUCAGAUGAUGAAUCAGUUUUAUCAGAAUUACCACUAAUUUGUAUGCUAUCAAGUUCCAUUAUCGCUUACAAUAUAUUUCUAAGCGUAAGUAACAGCCGAUAGCUCACGAAAUGUGUACCGAAAUAAUAAAGCUUACGAAUUACAAAAAAAAAGGUAUAACAUUCGAUAAUGCGUGUUAAACAUGUGGAAAUAAAUAUAUACCAAUAUUAAUGUAA
rnacentral:lncRNA from 1 species